UACAGAGGUCUCAAGCGUUGUUCGGAUUUAUUGGGCGUAAAGAGCGUGUAGGCGGCCAGAUAGGUCUGCUGUGAAAACUCGAGGCUCAACCUCGAGAUGUCGGCGGAAACCAUUUGGCUAGAGUCCGGAAGAGGAAAGUGGAAUUCCUGGUGUAGCGGUGAAAUGCGCAGAUAUCAGGAAGAACACCCGUGGCGAAGGCGGCUUUCUGGGACGGUACUGACGCUGAGACGCGAAAGCGUGGGGAGCGAACAGG
rnacentral:rRNA from 1 species